rnacentral:rRNA from 1 species
GACGAACGCUGGCGGCGUGCUUAACACAUGCAAGUCGAACGGAGUGGCAAACGGGGGAGCAACACGUGGGGUACCUGCCCGGCACUUCGGGAUACGCCUGGGAAACUGGGUCUAAUACCGGAGCGUGUGGGAUGGGCCCGCGGCCUAUCGGUUUGUUGGUGGGGUAAUGGCCUACCAAGGCGGCGGCGGGUAGCCGGCCUGGGAGGGUGGACGGCCACAAUGCGACUGAGACACGGCCCAGACGCCUACGUGAGGCAGCAGUCGGGAGUAUUGCACAGUGGUGGAGACCCUGAUACAGCAGCGCCGCGUGCGGAAUGACGGCUUGCGGGUUGUGAACCGCUUUCAGCCAUGCCGCGGUAGUGGCAGAGUAAGCACCGGCUAACUACGUGCCAGCAGCCGCGGUAAUUC